rnacentral:rRNA from 1 species
UACGUAGGUGGCAAGCGUUGUCCGGAAUCAUUGGGCGUAAAGCGCGCGCAGGCGGUCCUUUAAGUCUGAUGUGAAAUCUUGCGGCUCAACCGUAAGCGGUCAUUGGAAACUGGGGGACUUGAGUGCAGGAGAGGAAAGCGGAAUUCCAUGUGUAGCGGUGAAAUGCGUAGAGAUGUGGAGGAACACCGAUGGCGAAGGCAGCCCCCUGGGCUAACACUGACGCUCAUGCACGAAAGCGUGGGGAGCAAACAGG